UAGCAGCACAACAUGGUUUGU
rnacentral:miRNA from 1 species